UACAGGGGGUGCAAACGUUGCUCGGAAUCAUUGGGCGUAAAGCGCACGUAGGCGGUUCGUUAUGUCGGAUGUGAAAGCCCUUGGCUUAACCGAGGAAGUGCAUCCGAAACUGGCGAGCUAGAGUACGAAAGAGGAUCGCGGAAUUCCCGGUGUAGAGGUGAAAUUCGUAGAUAUCGGGAGGAACACCAGUGGCGAAGGCGGCGAUCUGGGAAGAUACUGACGCUGAGGUGCGAAAGCGUGGGGGAGCAAACAGG
rnacentral:rRNA from 1 species